rnacentral:lncRNA from 1 species
AAUGGAUUCCUAGGGAAGGGCGUUUUACAAAAAAUUCCACUGCUUUCUCCAACCUCUGCAAUUCGAAGAGAGCUCUGGCUUAGAGUUAAAAAAAAAAAAAAAAUCAUUUCACAACAUGACCUCCUGCUCCUUUCGGCUUACCAGGCUGGGGUCACGGCCAAAGUAAACACGCCUUUGGCUCCCACAGCGCAGGCUUGGAAGGGUCAACCGCCACCGCAGGGCACGUCUGAGGUGGCGCAGGCAUCCCUGCCAUCCGGGCCGCGAACCGCACCCCGCCCCUGCUCAGUCCGGCCCACAGUCACCCAGCAGGGAUCCCACACCAGCCGCUCUGCUUGGCCCUGCAGACUGAGACACUGGCUGGCCGGAGUCCUUCUGUGUCAGUCACGAACACCUCAAAUUCCUUUCGCACGCACGCGUGUACACACACACACACACACACACACACGCACACGCACGCACGCACCCCAUGCCUCACUCCGAAGCCCCAGCUUCUUCAGCAGGAGGCACACAUGGGUGUCACUGGAAAAAAAUCCAGCCCCAUGGAAAGUAGCCAAGCAGAAGCCCUGAAGGCCAGACUCCUCUACCAGGCAGUCUGCUCGGCAGCUCAGCGUCUUGACCUGUUUCUGCAUAAAGGAAAUGCCCACUGAGAGGUGUUGAAGCCACACGUCCUGGCCCUCAGGGAUGCAGUUCAGCAAGUCUGCCUCAGACUCCUGUUCUUGCACCCAGUGUCUUAUGGGAGGAAGGCAGAAGAGCUAUUGUGGAGGAAAAUGUACUCUGCUGUUGUCAUGUUGCUUAUGAAGACCAACAGAAAGCACAAGGACACUGUCGAGCUCUGGAAAGCUCCCUUGUGGGCUCACCUGAAGGGCGGCCUCAAGUCCUGUGAGCAUCUCUUUUUAUUUCUUC